GGCCGCGGGAAUUCGAUUCAGGCCUAACACAUGCAAGUCGAGCGAGAAACCUGCAAAUGAAGUUUCGACAGAUUUUACAGGCGGAAAGCGGCGGACGGGUGAGUAACGCGUAGGCAACCUGCCCCUUGCACAGGGAUAGCCUCGGGAAACCGGGAUUAAAACCUGAUAACACCGCACUUUCACAUGUAAGAGCGGUCAAAGAUUUAUCGGCAAGGGAUGGGCCUGCGUCUGAUUAGUUAGUUGGUGGGGUAACGGCUCACCAAGGCAAUGAUCAGUAGCCGACCUGAGAGGGUGAUCGGCCACAUUGGAACUGAGACACGGUCCAAACUCCUACGGGAGGCAGCAGUGGGGAAU
rnacentral:rRNA from 1 species